GCCUUUUUGUGCCCAAGUGACAGAUUCUGCC
rnacentral:piRNA from 1 species